rnacentral:rRNA from 1 species
GACGAACCGUGCGAGCGUUGUCCGGAAUUACUGGGCGUAAAGAGCUCGUAGGUGGUUUGUCGCGUUGUUCGUGAAAACCGGGGGCUUAACCCUCGGCGUGCGGGCGAUACGGGCAGACUGGAGUACUGCAGGGGAGACUGGAAUUCCUGGUGUAGCGGUGGAAUGCGCAGAUAUCAGGAGGAACACCGGUGGCGAAGGCGGGUCUCUGGGCAGUAACUGACGCUGAGGAGCGAAAGCGUGGGGAGCGAACAGG